rnacentral:rRNA from 1 species
UCCUACGGGAGGCAGCAGUAAGGAAUAUUGGUCAAUGGACGCAAGUCUGAACCAGCCAUGCCGCGUGAAGGAUGAAGGCCCUCUGGGUUGUAAACUUCUUUUAUAUGGGAAGAAAUGUGUCGGUUCUCCGACACUUGACGGUACUAUAGGAAUAAGCACCGGCUAACUCCGUGCCAGCAGCCGCGGUAAUACGGAGGGUGCAAGCGUUAUCCGGAUUCACUGGGUUUAAAGGGUGCGUAGGUGGGCAGAUAAGUCAGUGGUGAAAUCUUUCGAGCUUAACUGGAAAACUGCCGUUGAUACUAUUUGUCUUGAAUAUUGCGGAGGUAAGCGGAAUAUGUCAUGUAGCGGUGAAAUGCUUAGAUAUGACAUAGAACACCAAUUGCGAAGGCAGCUUACUACACAAUUAUUGACACUGAGGCACGAAAGCGUGGGUAGCGAACAGGAUUAGAUACCCUGGUAGA